rnacentral:rRNA from 1 species
CACGUGGGGAACCUGCCCCAUAGUCUGGGAUACCACUUGGAAACAGGUGCUAAUACCGGAUAAGAAAGCAGAUCGCAUGAUCAGCUUUUAAAAGGCGGCGUAAGCUGUCGCUAUGGGAUGGCCCCGCGGUGCAUUAGCUAGUUGGUAAGGUAAAGGCUUACCAAGGCGAUGAUGCAUAGCCGAGUUGAGAGACUGAUCGGCCACAUUGGGACUGAGACACGGCCCAAACUCCUACGGGAGGCAGCAGUG